rnacentral:rRNA from 1 species
AUUGAACGCUGGCGGCAGGCCUAACACAUGCAAGUCGAGCGGAUGAGUAGAGCUUGCUCCAUGAUUCAGCGGCGGACGGGUGAGUAAUGCCUAGGAAUCUGCCUGGUAGUGGGGGACAACGUUUCGAAAGGAACGCUAAUACCGCAUACGUCCUACGGGAGAAAGUGGGGGAUCUUCGGACCUCACGCUAUCAGAUGAGCCUAGGUCGGAUUAGCUAGUUGGUGAGGUAAAGGCUCACCAAGGCGACGAUCCGUAACUGGUCUGAGAGGAUGAUCAGUCACACUGGAACUGAGACACGGUCCAGACUCCUACGGGAGGCGGCAGUGGGGAAUAUUGGACAAUGGGCGAAAGCCUGAUCCAGCCAUGCCGCGUGUGUGAAGAAGGUCUUCGGAUUGUAAAGCACUUUAAGUUGGGAGGAAGGGCAGUAAGUUAAUACCUUGCUGUUUUGACGUUACCAACAGAAUAAGCACCGGCUAACUUCGUGCCAGCCGCCGCCGUAAUAC